AAAGAUCCGGGAGUCUAGAAAGGAAGGCGACGAUUGUGCACGGCCUUACAGGAGGGUGUUGCAAUCUGGUUCCUAAGGAGGAAGAGGAAGGCAGCCCUGGAGUGGUUUCUUUACAGUAAUUUCAACAGAAGAGUGAGAGAUGGAACCCGAAGAAGAAAGGAUUCGUUACAGCCAGAGAUUGCGUGGUACCAUGCGACGGCGCUAUGAAGAUGAUGGCAUUUCAGGUGAUGAAAUUGAAGGGAAAAGAACUUUGACUUGGAAGAGAAACUGCAUACCAACAAAUAUAAUGCCAAUUUUGUUACUUUUAUGGAAGGAAAAGGUCAGUAUAAUUUUGGUUCCAACAUAUAGUACUUUGGUGUGGGAAGUCAUAGAAUGUGAGCAUUGGGGGUUUAGCAUUUAUCUAGCUAAAAUAUUGCCUGUUGAUGUUAUUUUCUCUUGUUAUUCAGUGCCCCUUGUAUGCACUCGACCCCGAGUCCUCCCACCCUGUGAGUCAUUCUCUGCUAUAUUAGAAGUAAUCUUUUAUUAG
rnacentral:lncRNA from 1 species